CUUCCACUCGGUCGCGGUCUGUGAAGUAGGGUGGGGUCGGUGUGGCUGCAGCCCGAAGAGGUCAGGUCAAAAGACGAAAUGUGAAAAGCAGCGAAAGAAAGCAGAGGCAUGAAUGAGGCACUGCACACUUGCUCCGAAGAUCUGUUGGGAUAAAUGUUGUGUCCAACUGUAAAGGCAAGAGGAGAGGGAGAGCCUGGGAAGGCCCAGGACAGCAUACUUUGGUGUGCCACAUUCGGCAGUCUCCACCUCUGUAUUCCUGGCUUUUUUCUUUCCUGACCAAGCGUAUGGAGAAGCCCUGCUUUUUGCGUGAUACCUUCUUUCUCUCCAAAUGCUACUAACCCGCAGCUGGCCAUGGGUGUGUUCAUACGUGGGGACCCCACGGAGAGUAUGGUCACAGCAGCCCCUGCAUGCUGGCUCUUUGGGGUCAGGUCGGAAGGAGGUACCCUUUCCAGGAACAAGGAAGCCUGACGCCUGGCUUCUCUGGGAAGCUCUGUGUCCAGCGCCAGCUCCAUGUCUGGGCUAGCCGGCUGCUUCUUGCCUCUCACCCCAUUUACCCUUCACUCACCUUCUGCACACCAGCUGCAUUCCUGGGCACAAUAAGCCUUUCCCAACCAGCAGAAAUGACUGAGACGCCUCUCCUGUGCUGGGGAGAAAAUUGGAUCCACGUUCUCAAACAACAGGAGGAGAGAACCUGAGGCAGCAGGAGGUUCCCUAGCUGGUUCUCUUGCCUCAGCCAUUUGAGGGGCCCGGCUCAGAAGCCUUGAAUCCCCGCUCCUCCAUGAGGGGCCUAUGUUGAGUGCGGCUCAUGAAGCUGGCCAAGUUGGUGUCUCUCCCACUACUCCUCAGGGAUCAACAGGAAUAUCCUGUGGAGUUGCUUUGACCCAGAAGAGACACCAGCAAAUAUUCCAGGAGAAGCCCGGACUCUGCGCACUGGACCACUUCGGAACGACGCUUCCGUCAGCCCAUCCUUCCCUAGGAAGACCUUGGAGAGAAGAGGCAUGAUGGAAGAGAAUGUGCUCUUCACUGGCAGUAAAAAUUCUACUUUUCUCUGACUUGCCUCGCUGUCGCCCUUCUCUCCCUCAUUCUAACACCUCUAGGAUAGAAGGCCAGUGGUCUUGCUUUCCUUGCAGAUUUUUUGUCUAUGGCUUCCCUUCUUUCAGUGGCCAUUUUUUCACAUAUCCACAAAUUACUACUAGAAUGGUAUUCACAUGAGCCUUUUCCCCAAUGCUGUGGUUUGAAAUUGCCCAAAUGUCCAUCAUUUCGGGUGUCGUUUACAUUGGUGUAAAGCUUAACAUUUACACCAAAAUUAAGGUGUGACGAACGCAAUAACGUACAUAUAUAUCAAAGAUAUAAGGUUGCUUGAUAAGAGCUAGACUGAAAAAGUGUACAUCCUUUUGUGUGAAUUUGAAGAAAGGACAAGCCUAAUCUGUGAGGGUAGACAUCUGAAUAGUUAUAAAAUAGCAGGGGAUGAAGGCAUUACCUGGAAAGUGUAUCAAAGGGCCAUGCUUAGAUGAUAGAAAAUUUCUGUAUGUUAUGAUCCUGUUGAAGGUUGCAUAUUUCAAUAUUCAUAUAGCUGUCCAUUUGUCCAUUAGAGAUUUGUGCAUUUUGUUCUGUGAAUACACAUUAAUAAUUCCCUUAAAGGAUAAAAAUUGGCCGUCGGAUUUCAGAGACUGCAACGGAGACCACGACCAGUUUGGAGUAAUUGUUAACUCUUUAAAACCUCUUCUUUUUGUGUGUAAAAAAGCCUCGCUGAUGUUUGAAAUGUUUCCACUAAAAAACCCCUAGUAGGGGCUGGCCCCGUGGCCGAGUGGUUAAGUUUGCGCGCUCUGCUGCAAGCGGCCCAGUGUUUCGUUGGUUCGAAUCCUGGGUGCGGACAUGGCACUGCUCAUCAGACCAUGCUGAGGCAGCGUCCCACAUGCCACAACUAGAAGGACCCACAACGAAGAAUAUACAACUAUGUACUGGGGGGCUUUGGGGAGAAAAA
ensembl:lncRNA